rnacentral:rRNA from 1 species
AUUGAACGCUGGCGGCAUGCUUUACACAUGCAAGUCGAACGGCAGCGCGGGCUUCGGCCUGGCGGCGAGUGGCGAACGGGUGAGUAAUACAUCGGAACGUGCCCAGUAGUGGGGGAUAGCUCGGCGAAAGCCGGAUUAAUACCGCAUACGACCUGAGGGUGAAAGCGGGGGAUCUUCGGACCUCGCGCUAUUGGAGCGGCCGAUGGCAGAUUAGCUAGUUGGUGGGGUAAAGGCAUACCAAGGCGACGAUCUGUAGCUGGUCUGAGAGGACGACCAGCCACACUGGGACUGAGACACGGCCCAGACUCCUACGGGAGGCAGCAGUGGGGAAUUUUGGACAAUGGGCGAAAGCCUGAUCCAGCAAUGCCGCGUGUGUGAUGAAGGCCUUCGGGUUGUAAAGCACUUUUGGCGGGAACGAAAAGGGCUGUGCCAAUACCACGGUUCGAUGACGGUACCCGCAGAAUAAGCACCGGCUAACUACGUG